rnacentral:rRNA from 1 species
GAUUAGUAAGUCAGUGGUGAAAGCUCCCGGCUCAACCGGGAAAAUGCCAUUGAUACUGUUAAUCUUGAGUACAGUUGAGGUAGGCGGAAUGUAUCAUGUAGCGGUGAAAUGCAUAGAUAUGAUACAGAACACCGAUAGCGAAGGCAGCUUACCAAACUGUAACUGACGCUCAUGCACGAAAGCGUGGGGAGCAAACAGGAUUAGAUACCCUGGUAGUCCACGCUGUAAACUAUGAUCACUCGCUGUUGGCGAUACACUGUCAGCGGCUUAGCGAAAGUGUUAAGUGAUCCACCUGGGGAGUACGAUCGCAAGGUUGAAACUCAAAGGAAUUGACGGGGGCCCGCACAAGCGGAGGAGCAUGUGGUUUAAUUCGAUGAUACGCGAGGAACCUUACCUGGGCUUAAAUGCAGAACGACCUCCCGAGAAAUCGGGACUUCCUUCGGGACGGACUGCAAGGUGCUGCAUGGUUGUCGUCAGCUCGUGCCGUGAGGUGUCGGGUUAAGUCCCAUAACGAGCGCAACCCUUAUCCUUAGUUGCCAACAGGUAAUGCUGGGAACUCUAAGGAAACUGCCUACGCAAGUAGUGAGGAAGGUGGGGAUGACGUCAAAUCAGCACGGCCCUUAUGUCCAGGGCUACACACGUGCUACAAUGGUCGGUACAGAGGGCAGCUACCUGGCAACAGGAUGCUAAUCUCGAAAGCCGGUCUCAGUUCGGAUUGGAGUCUGCAACUCGACUCCAUGAAGU